UACGUAGGGGCAAGCGUUGUCCGGAAUCAUUGGGCGUAAAGAGCGUGUAGGCGGCCCGAUAAGUCCGCCGUGAAAGUCCAGGGCUCAACCCUGGAAUGCCGGUGGAAACUGUCGGGCUGGAGUCCGGAAGAGGCGAGUGGAAGUUCCUGGUGUAGCGGUGAAGUGCGCAGAUAUCAGGAGGAACACCGGUGGCGAAGGCGGGUCUCUGGGCAACAACUGACGCUGAGGAGCGAAAGCCGUGGGGAGCGAACAGG
rnacentral:rRNA from 1 species